rnacentral:rRNA from 1 species
CUGGACGGGGGGUGGGGAUGACGUAAAGUCAUCAUGGCCCUUACGGCCUGGGCUACACACGUGCUACAAUGGUCGGUACAGAGGGUUGCGAAGCCGCGAGGUGGAGCUAAUCUCACAAAACCGAUCGUAGUCCGGAUCGCAGUCUGCAACUCGACUGCGUGAAGUCGGAAUCGCUAGUAAUCGCACAUCAGAAUGUUGCGGUGAAUACGUUCCCGGGCCUUGUACCACACCGCCCGUCACACCAUGGGAGUGGGUUGCACCAGAAGUAGCU